rnacentral:rRNA from 1 species
UCGUAUAGUACCGUCAAUCUCGUACACGUACAAGGUGUUCUUCCUAUACAAAAGCAGUUUACAACCCAUAGGGCAGUCAUCCUGCACGCGGCAUGGCUGGUUCAGACUUGCGUCCAUUGACCAAUAUUCCUCA